GAAAGGCUGCUGUUGGUGGCAGAGCUUACAUGGCCAGGGAUCCCGGAGGACCUGGAAGGGGUUUUAAUGGACUUUUGAGAAUCAAAGUGAACUGCCAGGGACAAACAAGAGUGGCGAGGAAAUGGAAGCAGUCAUACCACUCAGGCUGGAAAAUCGCUCUAGGAAUGGCAAGAAGGGCUCUUUCUCACUUGGAUGGUCCCCAGAAAGUCAGCUGCCAUGUCACGAAGUGCCCUGUGAGAAGGACCUGUAAGGAGGGACGGAGGGAGGCCUCUAAAUGACAGCCUUCGAGGAACUGAAUCCUGCUGGUGACCAUGUGAGGGAGCUUGGACUCCGGUCCCCCUGUGUUGAGCCUUCAGAUGAGUUGGCAGCCCCAGCUGGUGGCAUGACUGUAACGUCCUGAAACACCUUCAGCCAGAAAGCAUUCAGCUAAACCACACCUGUAUUUCUGACCCAAAGAAAUUGUGAGAUAAUAAACAUUUCUUCUCUUGA
rnacentral:lncRNA from 1 species